rnacentral:rRNA from 1 species
UACGGGGGGGGCAAGCGUUGUUCGGAAUUACUGGGCGUAAAGGGCUCGUAGGCGGCCAACUAAGUCGGAUGUGAAAUCCCCAGGCUUAACCUGGGAACUGCGUGUGAUACUGGAUGGCUUGAAUCCGGGAGAGGGAUGCGGAAUUCCAGGUGUAGCGGUGAAAUGCGUAGAUAUCUGGAGGAACACCGGUGGCGAAGGCGGCAUCCUGGACCGGUAUUGACGCUGAUGAGCGAAAGCCAGGGGAGCAAACGGG